UAUUUGCACCUGCCACAGUGGGAGACAACCAGUUGAAAAAUGGAGAACAGAGCCUUGCACUUAAUUCUGAUCUCAUUUACAUCACAUAGUAAAGGAGUUAGCAGCCUUCCACGCUAAAAAUCUACUUCCAUUGUGAUUUUGAAUCCCCUUCCCCCACGUGGUGCAAAUGCUGAUUAACGGCCUGAAGCAGUGAUUAAGCACCUGGUGGGAAGGCAGGGCCAACCCAGAUGCAUGAGGUGCUGCUGGGUGUCCAGAAGGUUCUACCCCUUCCCUGACUUUAUUUAAGGGCUGGCAGUGGGAGUAGAAGGUUGUUGGAGAUCCCUGCAUAUCUGAGGCCUUUUGGAGCACUCCUUUCUUAUGCUUCAAAUAGAGCAGUGGUCAUUCUACAGGAGGAAGUGCCAUGUGUUGGUUACGGCAAGAAUGAGAUGAGAGCCACAUGCCUGAGUUGAGAAGCUGAGCCCUUUGUGUCCUUUGUUUGGAAGUAAACUGGAGCUAUUUUCCUGUGUGUCUUCAGACUUCCGUGUGCCGGUCUCCAGGGAAGAGCAGAUUGCUUUGGUGUGAGCUGUAGAAGUAUUUACUGAGGUUUUACUUUGGAAGAUUGUGAACGGGAACCUCGCCUUGUGUCUCCAGUUUUCCCAUCACUUACUUGAUCUGAAAUGACUUCUGCAUGCAAGUACCAGGCCGCAAGCUGAAGAGGUCACCAAGCUCUCCCUUUGGAAGAUUGAUUCAGAGACUGCCAUGUUUCAUGGUCAAAAAUAACUCUUGCUGUUUAGCAUACGUUUUCACUGUCAGGAGCACUUCAGUCUGUAUUUGCCCUUUCUUAAGUUUCCUGUAUAGCCUUGAAUGCUUUGGAAGAAAUUGUUAUGACAAGGGUUCUGUAAGUCUUCAUCUGUGCUGUUGUUUUUGGUUUUUUUUUGUUUGUUUUUUUAAGUCUUAUUUCCCCUCCCCUUCACAAGGCCCUAUUUGGUGUUAGACACAAUAAGUUAGAAUGUCAGAGAACAUGAACCUGUUUCUGACCAGCAGUAUAUACGUGUCCAGGUCAUUCAGUACUCCACGAGAUCAGGGGAUAAGUUUUGAUUCACUAUCUGGGGGAACACAACGACCUGUUUUAGUAGGAAGCAGAGCAAGAUGCAAUGUUUUAAAAUACAUCCUAUUUAGACAAAUAACAGCUUAGAAUUGAUUAGCAAUUUUGUUGAUUAAUAACCAAUAACGUUUCAUUCUUCUGACACAUUCGAAGCAAAUACCUUGGCUAAUGAACAUACUUGGUUUAUUGA